GCCGAUGUACGCUUAACCGGUAAAGUCGGUGCCGCGUUAGUCACGUGAGCAUGUAUGCAGGUUCGAUCCCUGCCAUCGGCC
rnacentral:tRNA from 2 species